ACUCCGAAUACCGGUGACGCGUAUCCCGGCAGUGAGUCGGCGGGGGAUAAGCUUCGUCGUCGAAAGGGAAACAGCCCAGACCGUCGUCUAAGGUCCCGAAGCGUGUGCUAAGUGGGAAAGGAUGUGGAGUCGCAUAGACAGCCAGGAGGUUGGCUCAGAAGCAGCCAUCCUUUAAAGAGUGCGUAACAGCUCACUGGUCUAGUGGUUCCGCGCCGACAAUGUAGCGGGGCUCAAGCACACCACCGAAGACGCGGCAGUAUUUUGUACUGGGUAGGAGAGCGUCCCAUGAGGGGCGAAGCGGCCGUGUGAACGCGCCGUGGACUUCAUGGGAGUGAGAAUGCAGACAUGAGUAGCGAGAGACGGGUGAAGAUCCCGUCCGCUGGAUGACCAAGGGUUCCAGGGCCACGUUCAUCGUCCCUGGGUGAGUCGGGUCCUAAGGCGAGGCCGACAGGCGUAGUCGAAUGGAUGAACGGGUCGAUAUUCCCGUACCGGCUUUCAGCCGCCAAAACCGAGGCUUGGAGUACUAACCUCCGGGUCCGGGCUUACUGCUCCUUCGGGGGCGGGAUGCCCUGGCCUGUUGGGACCGAUCCUUGUAGUAGGUCAGCGCAGGAGUGACGCAGAAGGGUAGCCGGCCGCGGAGGUGGUCUUCCGUGGUCAAGCACGCAGGGCGUGGGACAGGCAAAUCCGUCCCGCAUGGGUCCGAGGUGCGAUGAUGGGGGCCUUAUGGCCCGAUAUCCGGUGAUCCCGGCUGCCGAGAAAAGCUUCGGCGUCAGGCUCAAAGCCGCCCGUACCCCAAACCGACACUGGUGGUCAGGUAGAGAAUACCAAAGCGAUCGAGCGAAUCCUGGUCAAGGAACUCGGCAAAUCACUCCCGUUCCUUCGGUUUAAGGGAGACCCCCGAUGGUGAACCGCCUCGCGCGGGGAGCUUUUGGGGGUGGCACAGACCAGGGGGUAGCGACUGUUUACCAAAAACACAGGUGCAUGCGAAGGCGCAAGCCGCUGUAUAUGCACUGACGCCUGCCCGGUGCCGGAAGGUUAAGAGGAUCCGUCAGCCUUCGGGUGAAGCGGUGAAUUCAAGCCCCGGUAAACGGCGGUGGUAACUAUAACCAUCCUAAGGUAGCGAAAUUCCUUGUCGGGUAAGUUCCGACCUGCACGAAUGGCGUAACGAUUUGGGCGCUGUCUCAACCAUGGACCCGGUGAAAUUGUAUUAUUCGUGAAGAUGCGAAUUACCUGCGGAAGGACGGAAAGACCCCGUGAACCUUUACUGCAGCUUGGCAUUG
rnacentral:rRNA from 1 species